GGCGAUGAGGGUCCACCCGUUCCCAUUCCGAACACGGCAGUUAAGCUCAUCAGUGCCAAAAAUACUUGGGGGGUAGCCCCCUGGAAAGAUAGGGCGAUGCC
rnacentral:rRNA from 1 species